rnacentral:misc_RNA from 1 species
CUUACUCAGUUCGCCAUAUCUCUAUUACAUUUCAACAUCAGAAAAUCAAAAUAAAAGCCCUACCCAAAAUUGUUACAAAGAAAUUGACAUAAUUUAAUAUUCACAGAUAACAAAACCAGAGAUGCUUUGACAUGGAAAAUAAACGAAAGGACCCAGAAAGAAAGGGGCGUUGUAGACAAGGAAAACCACAUUUUUUAGCCACUGUAGUUAAGUCCAACCAACAAGUUAUUUUUUGCAGUUGAACCAACAGAACACAAAAGUAAGAGCGUAUUUAACAGUAUCCAUGGGAUACAGAACCCUGCAUUAACAUAAUCACUUCUCCGCUAUCGCAUAUUUUCUUCCUUUUGGCUACAUGAAGAGAGCAUUAAAGCUUGAGCCUACAAUCUCUACCCAAACCAACACCUCAUCCACCUGAGAAGGUCCUGGCAAACACCUGAGAAUUUUAAUAAAAGCUUAAAUAACAAUAUUUCAUGGACACUAUGGUGCAGGAACAAGGCUUUCUGGUCAGGCAUGUCAACGGGAGGUUCACUAAUGGAUACAAGAAGAGGAAGCAGUCUGCAGCAAGAAUGAAACUCCCAUAUACAUGCUUAACUAAAGAGCCUUGCUCCUGCACCUUAGCGUCCAUAACACAAUAAUUUAGAUCCAUUCCUGGCCCUCAAAAACUAAAGCUCCAUUACUCCAAUGGAGCUUCACCACACAUUUGUCACAUACUGUAAAAGCACAAUCAAUAAAUAAUAGAAACUGCAGUGGCAAAUUGGUGAACCCACAAAAGGUACAUCCACACAACAUGUUCUGCAGCAUAAAAGUCUAUUCUUGAUCAUAUACCUGACUAUGUAGCCCACUAUCACUGACAUUUAUUAAUUGCAAAACACGAGCUGAAAGUUC